UGGGGAUGACGUCAAGUCCUCAUGGCCCUUAUAGUGGGGCUACACACGUCAUACAAUGGCUGGUACAAAGGGUUGCCAACCGCGAGGGGAGCCAAUACCCAUAAAGCCAGUCGUAGUCCGGAUCGCAGUCUGCAACUCGACUGCGUGAAGUCGGAAUCGCUAGUAAUCGUGGAUCAGCAUGUCACGGUGAAUACGUUCCCGGGUCUU
rnacentral:rRNA from 1 species